rnacentral:rRNA from 1 species
AUUGAACGCUGGCGGCAUGCCUUACACAUGCAAGUCGAACGGCAGCACGGGAGCAAUCCUGGUGGCGAGUGGCGAACGGGUGAGUAAUAUAUCGGAACGUGCCCAGUCGUGGGGGAUAACGUAGCGAAAGCUACGCUAAUACCGCAUACGAUCUAUGGAUGAAAGCGGGGGAUCGCAAGACCUCGCGCGAUUGGAGCGGCCGAUAUCAGUUAUUAGGUAGUUGGUGAGGUAAAGGCUCACCAAGCCGACGAUCUGUAGCUGGUCUGAGAGGACGACCAGCCACACUGGGACUGAGACACGGCCCAGACUCCUACGGGAGGCAGCAGUGGGGAAUUUUGGACAAUGGGCGCAAGCCUGAUCCAGCAAUGCCGCGUGCAGGAUGAAGGCCUUCGGGUUGUAAACUGCUUUUGUACGGAACGAAACGGUGAGCUCUAAUACAGUUUGCUAAUGACGGUACCGUAAGAAUAAGCACCGGCUAACUACGUG